rnacentral:lncRNA from 1 species
AAAAAGAGAUGACCAUUAGUACAAACCUCUUACCUUGGCCAAAGCAACAAAUUUAGUAGAUCACUACUUUAGUAUUCUAAACGCUCUUAUAUUAGUUUACGGAGGGAGUAUAUUAUGCUGAGAAGUACACUGUGAUUUAUAUUGAUCGCGUGAAGACACCACAAUAACAUCAUUAACGUUCAAGUGGUCUUAUUUCAAAAGGUACGAACCAUUUGAAUCUAUCUUAUUCAGGAAUCAUGUAGUCACAAAAAGUGUAUAUGAAGAGUUCUUUUGUGUUGAUGAUAAUAUCAACAGAGUACAACUUCCCUUACCCUACCAAUGAUAUGACUCCUAGUUGAUAUCACCAUGUAUUUCACACGCCAUCUACUGAAUCUACAAUUUAGUAGUUCUCACACACAAUUGUCAGAAAAUCGAAAGUGCAGCAGGAACAACACCCAAUGCAUUAGUAGUUCUCAUGUGCCUUUGCAUUUGCAAACCAAUUGUCCACAAAAAAUAGAUAUUCAGAUUCAUAACAGAAACCCCGAAUGUUUUAGUAGUUGACACAGAGCUUCAAUGUCAAGUGUUUCAGUCUAACUAUCUGCUACAAAUUCAUGAGAAGUCAAUUGUCUAACCUACAACGGUCAGAACAUGGCAGCUUGGCAAGGAACUUCCUUGAACAGGAGAUUGUGGUGGACCAGCAAAUCAAAUCAACAACAUCAGUAGUAACUGGAGAUUGGGGCAGGCCAUUGCCAUGUUAACUCUCCCAUAGAGGGUCUUGGACAUGUUUUACCGAUACAAAAAUUGAUUAGUAACUUGAACAGCGAUGAUGUUGAUAACUGAAAUUAGGCUCCUUCAUGAUGUUGUCACCUGUUUAGACAUCAUGUUUAUUUUAUAAGCUCAUCUGGUGAGCAUAGUUAUGCCCGACUGAUGUCCAUUAUGUAUUCAUAGGUUGUAUACGUGAGAAAAUUAUGCUCCAAUCAAUCUCCAUAAGGUAUCCAUAGGUUCUACGUGAGAAGAGCCUGAAUUGCAUUCCUGGAGAGAACAAUAUUAUCCAAGCACGCGAUACACAACAAAUUGAACCCAAAUCCAAAGUUAGUGUGGAUUAAAGUAUAAACCUGCAAGAAAAAGUUUGAACAAAAUAUUGUGAGAAAAUGAACCUGCACGGAUGAGGAAAACAGCUUUGAUGCAAUAAGAUAGUUUAGCACAGUGGAUCCAUGACCCAAUUUUGUUUUGAAAGAGACAUGGGUUAGCUUUCCAUGGAGUGGGAGGUGGCGGGAGGCAGAGACAUAACGCAAGAUUGCUUGCAGUUGUUUUUGAACCCGGAGAGGAAGAGAUGGUGGAGAAGCAGUGAUCUCUUUCCGGCCUGGAGGAAGAAGUACAGGGCGUCAUGUCCAUCAACAAUAGUGUUUAAUCUUUCUGAUAUUACUGCCACCUAAUGAUGUUGUAUCUUUUUCCUAGCAUACUCUUGUUUUCAUUCUUAUUAUCUAGUUCUGCAAAUACCCUUUAUUUGUUCUGUUCAGUGAGCAUGAUAAUAAUUGACAAAAGGGCAGCAUGUCGUGGACCACAUUUAUAGCAAUUAAGUGAGUCAAUUACCAGAACUUGAGAAAACUAUACGUUCAGUAUGCAGCACUCCCAGCUGCACUUUGAUAGAAAAAUAUAUGCGAAAAGCAUUCAGCGGAUCCGACAAAGAAACUGAAGCAAGUAUAACACAUAGUUUAAGAACAGGGGACCCUCCCAAUACUACUAUACCUGAUUUUGUCAACAAAGAGCAUAAUAGGUCGCUAGUUUGCUACAUCUUGAGGAAAGGAGCAUAUACACAAUAUUAUUAGUUGAGGGUCUCUGCCACGCAAUAAUUUGACAAAUAUGUUACCACAUUUUUUAAAACAAAUUUACAGUUUUCAAGAUAAAGAAAAGUAUUUGACAGCUUGCAUGGAAGGAGUUUUUAC